rnacentral:tRNA from 1 species
GGAGGCGUGCGAGAGCGGCCGAAUCGGCACGACUGGAAAUCGUGUGACCUGAGAGGGUCCAAGGGUUCAAAUCCCUUCGCCUCCGCCA